UGAGAUUCUUCAGCAGGGAUCAUUGAAGCCUCCAGAGAAUCAGGUAGGAGGUGUUUGCAAUCAGUAAGUAAUAAAUCAGCCACUGAAAUCAAAUCACUCAUUUCAUGAGCAACAUUAAGAAUCUGAGAAGAUUCUUUCUGCUCUGGGGUGAUGUACUGUUUCAGGUCUAGGCAACCUUCACGAAGUCUUCUCCAUGUUUCCUGAACAGAAGUAUUCAGGUUAAGCUGCACAGAAGUCUUACAUGAUGUAGAAUUUUUAGUGAAGUCCAUGUGGCUACACUCAUCCAACACCCGAUAUCCACUUGGAACAUCCUCCAUGCAUUUUCCAUUGAAAUGCUCCAUGACCUCUCUAGGAAUUGAUUUUGUUAUUCUAUCAGAACUACCAACCUCACCAGGAAUUGUUUUUGUUAUUCUAUCAGAACUACCAACCUCACCAGGAAUU
rnacentral:misc_RNA from 1 species